rfam:Picea glauca, whole genome shotgun sequence.
GGGUGUGAUCAUACCAAUGUUAAUGCACCAGAUCCCAUCAGAACUCCACAGUUAAGCGCGCUUGGGCUAGAGUAGUACUGGGAUGGGUGACCUUCCGAAAAUUCCUAGUGUUGCACCCU